rnacentral:rRNA from 1 species
GAUGAACGCUGGCGGCGUGCCUAAUACAUGCAAGUAGAACGCUGAAGCUUGGUGCUUGCACCGAGCGGAUGAGUUGCGAACGGGUGAGUAACGCGUAGGUAACCUGCCUGGUAGCGGGGGAUAACUAUUGGAAACGAUAGCUAAUACCGCAUAACAGUAGAUAUUGCAUGAUAUCUGCUUGAAAGGUGCAAUUGCAUCACUACCAGAUGGACCUGCGUUGUAUUAGCUAGUUGGUGAGGUAACGGCUCACCAAGGCGACGAUACAUAGCCGACCUGAGAGGGUGAUCGGCCACACUGGGACUGAGACACGGCCCAGACUCCUACGGGAGGCAGCAGUAGGGAAUCUUCGGCAAUGGACGGAAGUCUGACCGAGCAACGCCGCGUGAGUGAAGAAGGUUUUCGGAUCGUAAAGCUCUGUUGUAAGAGAAGAACGAGUGUGAGAGUGGAAAGUUCACACUGUGACGGUAACUUACCAGAAAGGGACGGCUAACUACGUGCCAGCAGCCGCGGUAAUACGUAGGUCCCGAGCGU